rnacentral:rRNA from 1 species
GUGGGGAAUAUUGGACAAUGGGCGCAAGCCUGAUCCAGCCAUGCCGCGUGAGUGAUGAAGGCCUUAGGGUUGUAAAGCUCUUUCAGUGGGGACGAUAAUGACGGUACCCACAGAAGAAGCCCCGGCUAACUUCGUGCCAGCAGCCGCGGUAAUACGAAGGGGGCUAGCGUUGUUCGGAUUUACUGGGCGUAAAGCGCACGUAGGCGGAUCGUUAAGUCGGGGGUGAAAUCCUGGAGCGCAACUCCAGAACUGCCUUCGAUACUGGCGAUCUUGAGUCCGGAAGAGGUGAGUGUAACUCCUAGUGUAGAGGUGGAAUUCGUAGAUAUUAGGAAGAACACCAGUGGCGAAGGCGGCUCACUGGUCCGGUACUGACGCUGAGGUGCGAAAGCGUGGGGAGCAAACAGGAUUAGAACCCCGUGUAGUCC